rnacentral:lncRNA from 1 species
CUUGCUCAAGGUCACACAACUAGUUAUUGUCAGAUCCGGGAUUCAGUCCAACUCUUCUGGCACCAAGUCCAGCACUGUCUUUACAGCUGCCUUCAAUGAAGCCCAGAUGCACUUACAGAGCAGACACAGAAUCUAAAGCAGAGCAUGAGGUUGGAGAGGUCAGUGGGAACAACUCCUCAACCAGAGAGCAAGGAAAGAUUUGAAGACCAGCAAACAGGAGAGA